CAGCCGCCGCGGUAAUACGAGGGGUGCAAGCGUUACUCGGAUUGAUUUGGUGUAAAGGGUGUGCAGACGGCUUAUUAAGUCACUUGUUAAAUUCUUCGGCCUAACUGAAGGUCUGCAAGUGAUACUGAUGAGCUAGAGGGUGGAAGAGAGAAGUGGAAUUCUCGGAGUAGCGGUAAAAUGCGUAGAUCUCGAGAGGAACACCAAUGGCGAAGGCAGCUUCUUGGUCCAUUCCUGACGUUCAUACACGAAAGCGUGGGGAGCGAACAGGAUUAGAUACCCCGGUAGUCCCUGUCUCUUAUAC
rnacentral:rRNA from 1 species